rnacentral:rRNA from 1 species
CUAGCGAUCCGCCGAUGGAGUUUCAUUGCCUUGGUGGGGAGCUUCCCGGAAACGAAAGUCUUCCGGUUCCGGGGGAAGUAUGGUUGCAAAGCUGAAACUUAAAGGAAUUGACGGAAGGGCACCACCAGGAGUGGAGCCUGCGGCUUAAUUUGACUCAACACGGGGAAACUCACCCGGCCCGGACACUGUGAGGAUUGACAGAUUGAUAGCUUUUUCAUGAUUCAGUGGAUGGUGGUGCAUGGCCGUUCUUAGUUCGUGGAGUGAUUUGUCUGGUUUAUUCCGAUAACGAGCGAGACUUUAACCUACUAAAUAGCUGAUGCAUAUUUAAGUGCUUUCGGCUUCUUAGAGGGAUUUGCGGCUUUCAGCCGAAAGAAAUUGAGCAAUAACAGGUCUGUGAUGCCCUUAGAUGUCCGGGGCUGCACGCGCGCUACACUGGCAAAAUCAACGUGCUUGUCCUACCCCGAAAGGGGCGGGUAAACCAUUGAAAAUUUGCCGUGAUUGGGAUCGGAAAUUGCAAUUAUUUUCUGUGAACGAGGAAUUCCAAGUAAGUGCGAGUCAUCACCUCGCGUUGAUUACGUCCCUGCCCUUU